UACGUAGGGGGCUAGCGUUGUCCGGAUUCACUGGGCGUAAAGCGCGUGUAGGCGGCGCGUCAAGUCGGGUGUGAAAGCCCGGGGCUCAACCCCGGGAUGCCGCUCGAAACUGGCGCGCUUGAGGACGGAAGAGGGGAGUGGAAUUCCUGGUGUAGCGGUGAAAUGCGCAGAUAUCAGGAGGAACACCGGUGGCGAAGGCGGGUCUCUGGGCCGAUACUGACGCUGAGGAGCGAAAGCGUGGGGAUCAAACAGG
rnacentral:rRNA from 1 species